rnacentral:rRNA from 1 species
UACGGAGGAUCCAAGCGUUAUCCGGAUUCAUUGGGUUUAAAGGGUGCGCAGGCGGAAUGGUAAGUCAGUGGUGAAAUCCUACGGCUUACCUGUAGAACUGCCAUUGAUACUGCCAAUCUUGAGUACAUUUGAAGUGGGCGGAAUGUGUCAUGUAGCGGUGAAAUGUUUAGAUAUGACACAGAACACCGAUUGCGAAGGCAGCUCACUAAACUGUAACUGACGCUAAGGCACGAAAGCGUGGGGAUCGAACAGG